CUUCUUAGAAAAGCUGCCUUGGUUUCCUGAAGAGUCGCAAGUUCGUCCUGUCUCGUCGGAGUUUCGUUUUCGCCGACAUGUGGCGCGCCAGGCGCGGAACCACUGACUCAUCAUAUCCGAACCACGGACUCGCCAGGCGCGGAACCACUGACUCAUCAGAUCCGAACCACGGACUCGCCAAGCGCGGAACCACUGACUCAUCAGAUCCGAACCAGGGAUUCGCCAGGCGCGGAACCACGGACUCAUCAGAUCCGAACCAGGGAUUCGCCAGGCGCGGAACCACGGACUCAUCAGAUCCGAACCACGAUCUCGCCAGCUGCGGAACCACUGACUCAUCAGAUCCGAACCAGGGAUUCGCCAGAUCCGAACCACGGACUCGCCAGGCGCGGAACCACGGACUCAUCAGAUCCGAACCACGGACUCAUCAGAUCCGAACCACGGACUCAUCAGAUCCGAACCACGGACUCGCCAGAUCCGAACCACGGACUCUGCGAUGGAGUCUGUGCAAGGCCACGGAAACCUGGAACCCCGACGUGGAUGAAUGCCUGCCCUGCGCAAUGUGCGUGACCUACACCAAAACCCCGGGCUGCGACAAGUGUCCUGGCCCGGCUGCUCAGGGACUGUCGGACGCAUGGAGGCUGGCAGCCAUCACCAGCUUCUCCGUGCUGGCUGCGGUUCUGGUGUUCGGGGGGCUUCUGGUCGGGGUUCUGGUGCACCAGUGUAGGACUCGCCGAAGCACCCUGCGAGAGCCCAUCGAAGAGACAACAGGUCCUCUGUAUCCAGUAUAGCUGCACCAGAUGCAGGUUGGUCAGACGGACCAAGCGACAAGAGGAGACACGAGACUCGGACCGCAUCUGUUACGCCACCGAACUGUCGAACCAGCCGCUGGCACAGCGUAUUUCAGAGUAGCAUUUAUUAAUUAUUUUAUUUAUUGUACCGGUAGUGGACACGCGUCGACACGAUCGAGAUGUGACGCUGGACUCGUUGGUGUUGUAAAAGGCGGCGUGUUGGGGGGGAGGGCCUACAAAUACUGUAACUGACUGACUGACGUCCCCGGGGCCGGUCAUCCCAGAAGCGCUGUCACCACACCCACCCACCCACCCCCCACGCCGGUGGCCGUUCCCUGCCGAGCGGGACAUUAUAAAGGGCUACCCCGUAUACAGGCAUUAAUCAGGCAGGCCGGCCCGUGGCAACGUGAAUGUACAAUUUAGACUAACAGCACAUUAGUUUUUACAUUUUUUUUUUUCUACGAUAUUUUAUAGAACGUGAUGUAUUGAUACGCGCUUCAGCGACGUGCACUUCACCUCGUGGCGAGAGCCUCGCCCGCCUUCUCGCGGCCUCCUUGUACGAGAAGGACAAGUGAAGCUUCGUGCCGCACUUUAUGCAGAGUUGGGCUGAGUCAGAGGCCGGUCGAAGCACAAGCACGAGCGGCGCGGAUUACUGAGGUGGGGGGGGAGGGCGGGGCCCUCAUUCCGAACUUGUGUUUGUGCAGCUGGCUGAGUGCAGCCAUGACAACAGCCAAAGAUCCGCGGCGCUCUUCUGAAAUCCAGCGCGCCACCAGGGCUCCCCAGGAACAGCCACAGCCGUCACUCAUCUGACGUGCACGUUUGCAGUGCUCUUAACCUGACUGUAAAGGUCACGUGACCACGAGUGGCCAAUAGAAUCCACUUCAUGAUUCCCAUGGGAUUCCUCCUUCACUUGUAGGGGGGUGCAAGGCAUCCUUUUUAUAUGUUUGUAUUAAAAGUGUUUUAACACGGCCGUGUGUGUUCUGUCACAUUUAUUAACACACC
rnacentral:lncRNA from 1 species